AUUGAACGCUGGCGGCAGGCCUAACACAUGCAAGUCGAACGGUAACAGGAAGAAGCUUGCUUCUUUGCUGACGAGUGGCGGACGGGUGAGUAAUGUCUGGGAAACUGCCUGAUGGAGGGGGAUAACUACUGGAAACGGUAGCUAAUACCGCAUAACGUCGCAAGACCAAAAAGGGGGACCUUCGGGCCUCUUGCCAUCGGAUGUGCCCAGAUGGGAUUAGCUAGUAGGUGGGGUAACGGCUCACCUAGGCGACGAUCCCUAGCUGGUCUGAGAGGAUGACCAGCCACACUGGAACUGAGACACGGUCCGGACUCCUACGGGAGGCAGCAGUGGGGAAUAUUGCACAAUGGGCGCAAGCCUGAUGCAGCCAUGCCGCGUGUAUGAAGAAGGCCUUCGGGUUGUAAAGUACUUUCAGCGGGGAGGAAGGGAGUAAAGUUAAUACCUUUGCUCAUUGACGUUACCCGCAGAAGAAGCACCGGCUAACUCCGUG
rnacentral:rRNA from 1 species